CCCUGGUGGUUUAACUGGUAAAGAAUCUGCCUGCAAUGCAGGAGGCCCUGGUUUGAUUCCUGGGUCAGGAA
rnacentral:tRNA from 1 species